AAUGGUUGUAUUCACUGCAUAAAGUUUUGUUUAUUGAAAAGUAAUUGGUAAGGCUCUGUCAGCUUGUACUCUCACGUGUGAACCAGAAGCUUCCCACCUUUUUACUUUACCAUGGUUUAGGGUUUUCACUUUCUUCAGAGAGAGAAGAGAUUGUGGUCGGUCGUCCGGUCGGUCCCGUACGACUUCUACAAUGGUGGUUCUGAAGCCAGAAUUCAUUGUGCAAUCGAUUCCUUCUCACACACUUUUCAAACCCUAGGUUUAUUCACGCUAUCACAGCUCCGAUUAACCUUCACCGUUCCGAUCAUCUUCUCUGACGAAUGGAUACAUCUGCAUCUGCAACAUCUUCAUCAAACUCGCGUAGAUACCUCUUCGUUAAUUUGCGUUUCGAUCUAAAAUGCUUUGUUUGAUUUGAUACUGGUAGAUGUUUGAUUUCAUGAUUCUAUGUCAUAUGCAGAUAUUAUUUUAUGAUGAUGAACUUAGGUAUUAUUCAUUUAUGAACCAUCUGAGACAGAACCAGGGGUUUAUCUUAAUCCAUAUGAAAAUGUGAUUUGUACCAAAUGUGUAUACCGGGUUUUGUUUUCUCUAGCCAAUUUGAUUUGAAAAUGUCGAGCUAUGAUGCGUAAGCUAAGAUGAAAGGCUAUGAUGGUUGCUUGAGCCUCUGUAGUUGGCUAAGAAACUCUGUAUAUGUGGUGCUUGAUGGAAUGCUUUAAAGUUGUGAUGAUCGUUGUAAUUUGAGGGGAAAUCGAAGAUCCAGGUAGCAUCUUGGCAGGGCAAGACCCAGAUGGCAUAGUUUCACUGGGCAACUGUGUGUUUGCAGCCAUGUUGUUACCAGGGUGUUAUAUGUGUUCAUCCCUCAAUUACAUGUCCGAGCUUUUUAAGGUUGUUUUGAUAAACCAGGGGUUGUGUUUUAGGGUACAUCGAGCAUCCGGGUAGCAUGUUGGUGAGGCAACAUCCAGAUGGCAUAGUGCUCACUUUGCAACUGUGUGUUUGCAGCGAUGGCGUAACCCGUUCUUAGAUGUGUUCAUCCCUCGAUUACAUAUCCGAGCUUUCAAGGUUCCAAUGCACAAACACAUUCACAUCUCGAUAACACUUUUUUUGGCAGUUGUCAUGUAAUAUCAAAUAUUGUAUCUACUUCUGGGCUAUGAUGAUGUGUUUUAGUUAAAGAAACUGAUACUUUAGUGUUUAUUGGCGUGGCAAAUGAGGUCUUUAACCUCUUAGUGUGCAGCCAACGCGAGUAAUUUUUGUUUCAUCAACAUGUUUGAGCCUACACUGUUGCUGGUGUGCAACAUGUGAUGGACCGCUUGACUCUUUAAUUGAAGAGAACUUAUGUUCUUCUGGCACGAUGAUUUCAACUAACAGUGGGGGAAGCAACAACUCAGAUUUGUUGCUCAACUUAUUAAUUGACUGAUGUUUGCUUUGUUGUGUUUUUGUUUAAUCUUCAUUUUCUCAUGCUCUAGCGUUUCUUGGUAUGAUUUAUUGCUAUUCGAAAUGGGCAUUCUGCUGUCUUAGUUCUGGAGUAAAGGUUUUUUCCGAUUAAUGAAGAGGUGGUCGCCUAACUAGAAAUCGAGUCAAAGCUGGUUAUUUUUUAUUCAAUUACUUCUACAAAUGAAUGCAUUGUAACACCGUGGGGUAUGGUGGGGUGUGGGUUGGGGGCAUGGUGCGACACGUAGAGUAUGGGGCACCCAAGACCAAAAGCCAAUUUCAAAAGGGGUAUGGUGGGGCGUGGUUGGGGUGACGUGGAAAAAAAACCAAUUUCAAAGGACUAGUGCUCUUGGCCAACGAGGUUCCGCCAUGUCAUGUUCGUAGCCCCGCCCAACGCCCGGGCUGAAACCCCCGUCCAAGGGGCCACGCCGAAACCCAAGCCCACCCGGGGUGGUGACGUGAGCGUUUGUACCCAACCCCCGCCCCAUACCCCAUAGUCUAACAUCUUCUACUGUAGGGGGAGUUGAAACUAAAGAAUUUUGAUAUAGUAAAAGUUGGACGUAGUGGCAGAGCACUUGUAAAGAGUUAUAUAUUGACAUGAAGUAAUGGGUCUCCCGUCGCAACGUGCGGGGGACAGUCGAAUUUGUAUUUUUUGGCUGUUUGAGUUGGUAUUUAGUUAAAGGUCCUUGAAGAUUUUAUUGUUGUAAUGUCGGCUCCGUUUAUGAUAGUUUUUGCUCCUUAAACAAAAGAAAAUAAACAAGGAGGUAUAGGAUUGAAGCCUGCAUUGUUUUGAGUUUAAACUUGGUUGAUUUGAAAAGGACUGUGAAGACAUCGUUUAUGAUGGGCUCAAUUUGUCACACCCCAACCAAUGAC